ACUUCUGACAGAUUUGUUCCCAUUGAUAACACCAGCCACGACUAUUACCGAUAAAAUAACAAUUCCCAGACGCUUGUCCAUGACUUAACACUGUUGUACACCAAAUCUCCAAGCCAGAGAGCGAUGGUUAGAUUAAGAUCUCAAUUCUCUUGGUACAAAAGGUCACUUGACACCAAAGCAGACUUUCAGUGACUUCAAACAAAAUGUACGCUAUUUAAUAUGACGACUUGAUGGUUCCACUGUUCGCAGCAAAUGAGAUGUGACCGCGAGUGCUACAUCACCCCAAAAGUGUUUUGUUUUUAAUAUUAUCCCAAAAAGGCCAAAGCAAUUUAAUAUAUUUUCAUGCAAUCAAGUGACAAUGUCACACAUUAAGUUGUCAACCACGGCUUGACAACAGUGAAUAUCCAGCAGUAACCUCUGACUGGUGCUAAUUUUGUUAUAAUAAAUACGCUUCGUUGGUGUCCAUUUAACUAAAAAAAGAACGAUCUUCCUUUCGUGAAGAGGAAAACAGUUGAAUCAAGUUGAUCGUGGGUUGGUCAAGACGGACAGAUUUCAAGUGUUUUUAAUAUCAAGUGUAAAAGGAUAUAUUGAUUCAUAUGGGCAUAUGUUAAUCUAACUGAUCAAACAACGACGUGGGAUUCUUUUUGUCUAUGUAUUAGCGUAGUCAUGCAUGAGGUCGCAAGCGCGUAGGCAGGGUAACACAUCGGUAAGGUCGGAGCUUGGAAACAUAUACAACAACCCGAGGGUCAUUGC